CUACGGGGGGCUGCAGUUGAGGAACUUUUACAAUGCUCGAAAGAGUGAUCGAGUAAGCCAGAGUGUUUCUCUUAGAGAAACUUUUAUCUGUUGUAAAAAGACAGAUGAAUAAGGACUGGGCAAGACCGGUGCCAGCCGACGCGGUAAUACCGGCGGUCCGAGUUGCAUCCACAUUUAUUGGGUCUAAAACAUCCGUAGCUUGUUUUGUAAGUCUCUUGUGAAAUCUCAUGUCUCAAGCAUGAGGCGUGCAAGAGAUACUACAUUACUAGAGACCGGAAGACGCGAAGAGUACGGUUAAGGUAGCGGUAAAAUGUGUUAAUCUUAAUUGGACUAACAAUGGCGAAGGCACUUCGCGAGUACGGAUCUGACAGUGAGGGAUGAAGGCUAGGGGCGCAAAAGGGAUUAGAUACCCAAGUAGUC
rnacentral:rRNA from 1 species